UACGUAGGGGGCAAGCGUUGUCCGGAAUUAUUGGGCGUAAAGAGCGUGUAGGCGGUCCGGUAAGUCCGCUGUGAAAGUCGGGGGCUCAACCCUCGAAUGCCGGUGGAUACUGUCGGGCUAGAGUGCGGAAGAGGCGAGUGGAAUUCCUGGUGUAGCGGUGGAAUGCGCAGAUAUCAGGAGGAACACCGAUGGCGAAGGCAGGUCACUGGGCCGCAACUGACGCUGAGGAGCGAAAGCAUGGGGAGCGAACAGG
rnacentral:rRNA from 1 species